rnacentral:rRNA from 1 species
UACGGGGGGUGCGAGCGUUGUCCGGAAUCACUGGGCGUAAAGGGCGCGUAGGUGGCCUGAUAAGGGUGUGGUGAAAGUCCGGGGCUCAACCCCGGAUCUGCCGUGCCGACUGUUGGGCUGGAGUACUGUAGGGGCAGGCGGAAUUCCGGGUGUAGCGGUGGAAUGCGUAGAGAUCCGGAGGAAGACCGGUGGCGAAGGCGGCCUGCUGGGCAGUUACUGACACUGAGGCACGAAAGCUGGGGGAGCAAACAGG